rnacentral:tRNA from 1 species
GGGGCCAUAGCUCAGCUGGUAGAGCGCCUGCGUGGCACGCAGGAGGUCAGGAGUUCGAGCCUCCUUGGCUCCA